rnacentral:antisense_RNA from 1 species
GCAUUGAUCUUUUUAUGUACUGAUUCACGAGGACUUAAGCCUAUGAUGCAGUUGUUUUCCCAGUCUUGGGAGCUGGCAGAUGCCAUUACCCAGGUCAGGAGAUAGAACCUUGCCAGCUAUACCCUGAAGCUGUUCAAGUCUUUCUCCCAAUUACAGUCUUCAUAAGAGUUGUUAGAAGGACUGAAUGAGAUGAAAUAGAGGAAAGUCUUCUAGGACAGGGGUCCUCAACCCUUGGGCCACAGACUGGUGGCAGGAGGGCUGCACAGCAGAUGGGAUGCCUGGUUGCAAGAAAACAAGCUCAGGGCUCCCACAGAUUCUACAUGAUGCAGUUUUCACAGAUUUGUGGCCAGAUGCUAGAGACAAAGGCUGAGAAGUUGUCCAGGACGUCAUAUUCUUGCUUUGCUGGAGGCAGAUCUGAAGGAUGUCAUCUCUCCUGUGGCUUCUUCUAGUGUGGGGUCCCGAAGCCUGGCUUCCCCAGCCGAUGUGCUGCUUUAGUCAGCGUCUGCCCUGGUCCUUCGGUUCGCAGGCUCACACGCUUUUUUGGGUUGUGUCCCUUUGGACUGCAGAGGCUACGUGUCCUGUGACCAACCACGGAGGCGGCCACUCCCGCUCCCCUCAGGAGUGUCUUAAAAUACCUCCAUUUUAGCUACCCUAUUGAAUGACAGGUUAGCUGGGUGCUGGGUUUUCAGGUGAUGGACAUUUUCCCUCAGUCCUCUGAAGGUGUUGCUGGCUUCAGGCAUUGAUGCCGCCACUCUGAUUGUUGUAUGCAGUGAGCAAACUAGAAUUUUCUCUUGGCUUUCUAGAUUUUCUUCUUUAUAUUCUGAAACUUUAUUA